rnacentral:rRNA from 1 species
AGAGUUGACGUAGCUGGCUGUAGUCAGUGGAAGGUGCUGCUUUGUGGCGGUCUGCUCUGCUCGGGAUUUCCGAGGCGGCCGUUGCAGUGAUUCGCUGGUAUCUUACACGCAUUUACAGUUGGCAGUGCCGAUUGUUUCGGUUGCUCCUUCUGAACAGCUAUAGUGGAACCCACAUCUGUGGUGCUUCGCUUAGUUGGGAGGUCGGUAGUGGCUGAAACUACUAGCUGUGCCUUUGCGAAUAGUGUGCAUCCUACGUGAGAGGGAACAUACCGCAUGCGGUAGUGAACUCUUGCGCGUGGAUGUUGCUACUCAUUCGUUCGGCUGUCUAUCGGCGUGAAAGUUGACCACCUAUCCGACCCGUCUUGAAACACGGACCAAGAAGUCUAGUAUAUGCGCGAGUCAUUGGGUGUUAAACCUAUUGGCGAAAUGAAAGUAAAGGCUAGCUUGCUGGCUGAUAUGUGAUCCGCUGUGAACAACGGUGGCGCAACAUAGCCCCAUGCCAGCUGCUUGCAGCGGUGUGGAGGUAGAGCGUAUAUACUGGGACCCGAAAGAUGGUGAACUAUGCCUGAGCAGGACGAAGCCAGAGGAAACUCUGGUGGAGGUCCGAAGCGAUUCUGACGUGCAAAUCGAUCGUCUGACUUGGGUAUAGGGGCGAAAGACUAAUCGAACCAUCUAGUAGCUGGUUCCCUCCGAAGUUUCCCCCAGGAUAGCUGGAGCAUAUAUACUGUUAUAUCCGGUAAAGCGAAUGAUUAGAGGCCUUGGGGACGAAAUGUUCUCAACCUAUUCUCAAACUUUCAAUGGGUACGAUGUUGCGGUUGCUUAAUUGAACCGUGACUGGGAAAGAGUGCUCCAAGUGGGCCAUUUUUGGUAAGCAGAACUGGCGAUGCGGGAUGAACCGAACGUUGAGUUAAGGUGCCUAACUCUCCGCUCAUGAGACCCCAUAA